UCGUUUGGCCUUGGGGGGCUAUCUGCAGUCGAGCGGACAGAAGGGAGCUUGCUCCCGGAUGUUAGCGGCGGACCGUUUGAAUAAAACGUGGGUAACCUGCCUGUAAGACUGGGAUAACUCCGGGAAACCGGAGCUAAUACCGGAUAGUUCCUUGAACCGCAUGGUUCAAGGAUGAAAGACGGUUUCGGCUGUCACUUACAGAUGGACCCGCGGCGCAUUAGCUAGUUGGUGGGGUAAUGGCUCACCAAGGCGACGAUGCGUAGCCGACCUGAGAGGGUGAUCGGCCACACUGGGACUGAGACACGGCCCAGACUCCUACGGGAGGCAGCAGUAGGGAAUCUUCCGCAAUGGACGAAAGUCUGACGGAGCAACGCCGCGUGAGUGAUGAAGGUUUUCGGAUCGUAAAGCUCCUGUUGUUAGGGAAGAACAAGUGCGAGAGUAACUGCUCGCACCUUGACGGUACCUAACCAGAAAGCCACGGCUAACUACGUGCCAGCAGCCGCGGUAAUACGUAGGUGGCAAGCGUUGUCCGGAAUUAUUGGGCGUAAAGGGCUCGCAGGCGGUUUCUUAAGUCUGAUGUGAAAGCCCCCGGCUCAACCGGGGAGGGUCAUUGGAAACUGGGAAACUUGAGUGCAGAAGAGGAGAGUGGAAUUCCACGUGUAGCGGUGAAAUGCGUAGAGAUGUGGAGGAACACCAGUGGCGAAGGCGACUCUCUGGUCUGUAACUGACGCUGAGGAGCGAAAGCGUGGGGAGCGAACAGGAUUAGAUACCCUGGUAGUCCACGCCGUAAACGAUGAGUGCUAAGUGUUAGGGGGUUUCCGCCCCUUAGUGCUGCAGCUAACGCAUUAAGCACUCCGCCUGGGGAGUACGGUCGCAAGACUGAAACUCAAAGGAAUUGACGGGGGCCCGCACAAGCGGUGGAGCAUGUGGUUUAAUUGGAAGCAACGCGAAGAACCUUACCAGGUCUUGACAUCCUCUGACAACCCUAGAGAUAGGGCUUUCCCUUUCGGGGACAGAGUGACAGGUGGUGCAUGGUUUUUUUCCCGGCUUCUGUA
rnacentral:rRNA from 2 species